rnacentral:rRNA from 1 species
UACGGAGGGUGCGAGCGUUGUCCGGAAUCACUGGGCGUAAAGGGCGCGUAGGCGCCUGUUAAGUCGAACGUGAAAUCCCCGGGCUCAACCCGGGAACUGCGUCCGAUACUGGCAGGCUUGAAUCCGGGAGAGGGAUGCGGAAUUCCAGGUGUAGCGGUGAAAUGCGUAGAGAUCGGGAGGAACAUCAGUGGCGAAAAGCGGCUUCCUGGACCAGCACCCGACGUCC